rnacentral:rRNA from 1 species
UCCGUAGGGUAACCUGCGGAGGGAUCAUUACCGAGUUUACAACUCCCAAACCCCUGUGAACAUACCAAUUGUUGCCUCGGCGGAUCAGCCCGCUCCCGGUAAAACGGGACGGCCCGCCAGAGGACCCCUAAACUCUGUUUCUAUAUGUAACUUCUGAGUAAAACCAUAAAUAAAUCAAAACUUUCAACAACGGAUCUCUUGGUUCUGGCAUCGAUGAAGAACGCAGCAAAAUGCGAUAAGUAAUGUGAAUUGCAGAAUUCAGUGAAUCAUCGAAUCUUUGAACGCACAUUGCGCCCGCCAGUAUUCUGGCGGGCAUGCCUGUUCGAGCGUCAUUUCAACCCUCAAGCCCCCGGGUUUGGUGUUGGGGAUCGGCGAGCCCUUGCGGCAAGCCGGCCCCGAAAUCUAGUGGCGGUCUCGCUGCAGCUUCCAUUGCGUAGUAGUAAAACCCUCGCAACUGGUACGCGGCGCGGCCAAGCCGUUAAACCCCCAACUUCUGAAUGUUGACCUCGAUCAGGUAGGAAUACCCGCUGAACUUAAGCAUAUCAAUAAGCUAAGCAUAU